UGAAGAAGGUCAUUCCUUAAGCUGAGAAC
rnacentral:piRNA from 1 species